rnacentral:rRNA from 1 species
CACGUAGGGCGCAAGCGUUGUCCGGAAUUAUUGGGCGUAAAGAGCUCGUAGGCGGACUGUCACGUCUGCUGUGAAAAGCUGGGGCUUAACCCUGGCCUUGCAGUGGAUACGGGCAGACUAGAGGUAGGUAGGGGAGAAUGGAAUUCCCGGUGUAGCGGUGAAAUGCGCAGAUAUCGGGAGGAACACCCGUGGCGAAGGCGGCUCUCUGGGACGGUACUGACGCUGAGACGCGAAAGCGUGGGGAGCAAACAGG